CUACGGGAUGCUCCAGUGGGGAAUAUUGGACAAUGGGCGCAAGCCUGAUCCAGCAAUGCCGCGUGAGUGAAGACGGCCUUAGGGUUGUAAAACUCUUUCGCUAGGGAAGAUAAUGACUGUACCUAGUAAAGAAGUCCCGGCUAACUCCGUGCCAGCAGCCGCGGUAAUACGGAGGGGACUAGCGUUGUUCGGAAUUACUGGGCGUAAAGAGUUCGUAGGCGGACUGACAAGUUAGAGGUGAAAUACCAGGGCUCAACCCUGGAACUGCCUUUAAAACUGUCAGUCUAGAGACCGGAAGAGGUUAGGGGAAUACCUAGUGUAGAGGUGAAAUUCGUAGAUAUUAGGUGGAACACCAGUGGCGAAGGCGCCUAACUGGUCCGGUACUGACGCUGAGGAACGAAAGCGUGGGGAGCAAACAGGAUUAGAUACCCUGGUAGUC
rnacentral:rRNA from 1 species